rnacentral:misc_RNA from 1 species
UACGGAGGGUGCAAGCGUUGUCCGGAAUCAUUGGGUGUAAAGGGUGCGCAGGCGGGCAUCUAAGUCUGAGGUGAAAUCUUGCCGCUUAACGGUAAAAUUGCCUUAGAUACUGGGUGUCUUGAAUCCAGAAGAGGUCGGUGGAAUUCGUGGUGUAGCGGUGAAAUGCAUAGAUAUCGCGAAGAACUUCAGUGGCGAAGGCGGCCGUCUGGGCUGGUAUUGACGCUGAGGCACGAGAGCGUGGGGAGCGAACAGG